GCUUCUGGAUUCAUCGCCGGUGGUACUGACACAUAGCCAGUGCUCCUGUGUGGCAGGUGCUGUUAUGUGCAAUCACACAGUGGCACUGCUCUUCCAAACAGCACACUACUCACAACUCAGAGUGCCGGUUGUCCCCCUGUGCAUAGCUGCACCGAAUCUGAACAGCAAUGGCACAAGCCACGGACAGUGGGUGUGAAGCCAGGACCUAUCAACUCUAUGAUCUUCACUAAGCCGGUACCAAAUAGGAUGGCCCAGACUGGAGUACGGAGUGGAUUCUACAGAGGCAUUGUGGGUCCAUUACCAGAUCCCUGACCUGACAAGCCCCUUGUGGAAAGUGCCUUUGGGCUGGUGCAGGAGGGCAGUGUUCUGUCAUGUCAGCAGCCGGUUUUGACAACCCGGUACAUCACACUACACCGUGAUGCACCACCAACACCGCACUUGCCUCUGGAGUAUGGGUAUGACAUGAAGGAAACCCUGCUCGCUCAGACAGCCUGUGAUAUUUUCUCAAACCGCUGCGCUGAACCAGUUUCCAAAGAACAUGCUGUGUGACACAAUAAAUAUCCUUUAACCUGUUAACCUGUGGCUUCUGGAAGAAACUCGGGUGAGUCAGUCACUGCAAACACAUUUGUAUCAUCAAGUGUUUGUCAAAUGAAAAUGAUAUGUUUUUCUACACUUAGGAUAAUUUUCUAUGUUGCAGUGCAGUAAAGUGCACGUUUCUUCUGUGUUCAAUCAUACAUGUUCUAAUUGUUAUAAACAGAAAAAAUCUUUUCUUACUUAACUGCUUGAUUCUUAACUUGUUUAACUGAAACAUGAUGAAAUGUCAUAGUAUUAUUUUUUUUUUUUUAAAUGUCCUUGGCAGUGCAUGUGUCUGCAUUGUAACUUACUAAUAAAAAGUCCUGUGUGUA